AGCUCCAAUAGCGUAUAUUAAAGUUGUUGCAGUUAAAAAGCUCGUAGUUGGAUUUCGGAGCCGACCGGGCGGUCUGUCGAGAGACACGCACUGCACGGUGGCUCUUCCUCUCGGAGGCCCUGGCUGCCCUUAACUGGAGCGGGCAGGGGAUUCGGGACGUUUACUUUGAAAAAAUUAGAGUGUUCAAGGCAGGCUCGCCAGCUUGAAUACAUGAGCAUGGAAUAAUGGAAUAGGACUACGGUCCCUAUUUCGUUGGUUUGACGGACCGAAGUAAUGAUUAAGAGGGACAAUUGGGGGCAUCCGUAUUUCGUAGUCAGAGGUGAAAUUCUUGGACCUACGAAAGACGAACAACUGCGAAAGCAUUUGCCAAGAGUGUUUUCAUUAAUCAAGAACGAAAGUA
rnacentral:rRNA from 1 species